rnacentral:rRNA from 1 species
GACGAACGCUGGCGGCGUGCUUAACACAUGCAAGUCGAACGAAGAGCGAUGGACGCUUGCUUCUAUCAAUCUUAGUGGCGAACGGGUGAGUAACGCGUAAUCAACCUGCCCUUCAGAGGGGGACAACAGUUGGAAACGACUGCUAAUACCGCAUACGAUCUAAUCUCGGCAUCGAGGAUAGAUGAAAGGUGGCCUCUACAUGUAAGCUAUCACUGAAGGAGGGGAUUGCGUCUGAUUAGCUAGUUGGAGGGGUAACGGCCCACCAAGGCGAUGAUCAGUAGCCGGUCUGAGAGGAUGAACGGCCACAUUGGGACUGAGACACGGCCCAGACUCCUACGGGAGGCAGCAGUGGGGAAUCUUCCGCAAUGGACGAAAGUCUGACGGAGCAACGCCGCGGGAGCGAUGACGGCCUUCGGGUUGUAAAGCUCUGUUAAUCGGGACGAAAGGCCUUCUUGCGAAUAGUGAGAAGGAUUGACGGUACCGGAAUAGAAAGCCACGGCUAACUACGUG